GAAAAAGUUAGGUUAGGUUAGGUAAAAGUCCUAUUUUCUCAAGUCUGAGAGGGUUGACCCUAUUGGCAAUAUUGUUGCUCAUGAUUAGUAGAUGCUAUAUACACCCAUACUCAGCAAUUCUAGGAUUAACCACUCCUGGCUGGUAUGGCAGAAUGUUGGCAGUUAUUUCAACGCCGCCCGUUAUAUAGGCCGAGCAUCGAAGGGGUCGCGACUGAUUUGCCUUUCAGUCGCGCCACCAUGGCAGAGGUAGCCGAUCCGUUUGAAGUUGGACCAGUGUUUGCGAUGGAACAUUUUUCCCUGACGCCUACAUCUACAUCCAGGCCGGAUUCUGGCUUUCAACAGGGUCCUUCUCGACGAGGCUAAUAUCCGGUAUCCAAACGCGAAAAAUCCCUCCUUCCUGUCCUCUGACUCACUUUUCCUCUUUGUCGAAACGCUAAAAUCCAUCCACCUCUGUGCUCUUUUAACUAGACUCGUUCUAAUGGUAUUCCAUCGUUGAAACGAACCUCUGUUUUCACGAACGUAAUUCAAUUUAACACGGAGAAACAUUUUUCUUAUACCUUGGCGGGAUUAAAAUAGCCUCGUAUCCGAUUGAAAACGAUGGGCUGACCUUGCGAAAGGUUUAUUCUGAUCCCGGGUUUGAAUAAACCAUAGCGAUCAGUCGAUGUUAUGGUUUAAUAAUUGAACGAGGUUAUAGUUGGAUAUGCAUCAAGGUUUCGGGUACUUGUCAUCGAAACUUUGCUUCCAGCUUAUUUCCGCGGUUUAACCCAACGCUCAUUUAUAUUUAAUCAAUCCCGGCCACAGCUUAGGCUCCUAUAGGUAAAAGCGAAUAUUAUCUCACGAUGGCGUUCACAGAUUAAUCCGAGGAGUCACGUGUCUCUUAUUCUAUAAAAUAGUGGCGAGUUUACCGAGGGUAUACCAUAAUAGUCGGUGACAGUUCCAUCGUGGCACGCUGAAAGCAAUAUCGACGGGAAUUAAGUAAUAACGUCGUGAAGCUGCAGAUUCCUAGCAUAAACAUCCGGCAUCCAAUUACGCGGCGAUGCAAUUUCCUCUCCAACCGGGGCCACCUUGCAUCUUCUUCUACCUAUUAUUUUCCUUCGAGAUUAGAUAUUGCCACACGCGACUGAUUUGUUUGUUUAAAAAAUGAUAUGUAGAUACUUCAUUCAGACUACCUGAUAGGCUUAACUCUUCAAAAUUCAUUAGCAGCCUACUUUACCCUCAUCAAAGAGUUGUAUCAACAAGCGGAAUAUAAUUCCCUAUAAAAUAACUUUAAUAAACAUUGCAAAGGGCAAUUCUUAGAAUGGACAUUUAAAUGAGUUGUAUCACUUUGUCUCUCUCUACAAGUAGUUUCUUGUUAUACCUACUCUCUGCCCUCACCCCAUACAGUAGACAUACUAUUUCAUACUUAACAAACAGUUUCGACGCAACGAUCCUCCACUUUUCAUCUUUCUUCAUCCCCAACCAACUAAGCAGACAUCUCAUUUCGCACCCAAUAGACAAUCGCCAUCCACCCUCGGUCCACUAUCGGUUCUAACAGCCGAAGAUCAACCCGGGCCACCCUUUCGAAACCCAUCAUCGCCAUUCAUCCCCUCGUCCAUUACGCGUUAUAGAUUCCCAAAGACAGCCGAACCGACUGGACACCCAUUCCUACCUCGUGCGAGUCAAAACACCCUCGGGCCAUUGGUACCACCACUAGCCGUUCACCCCGUGAAACGCAACGUUUCCACGUGUGGGUCGCGUGCAUAAGAUAGAAUGGAAGGGGUUGAAGGUGGGUUGGAUGGACGGAGCGUGGAUUAUAUCGGCACAUGCGCGAUCCGGUUGCCGUCGUGAAAAGCGGAUGCUAUGCCCAACAGUCGGCUCAGUACGGCGUGGUUCUUGCUCGCGUUCGCUUCCCUAGCCGGACGUCCUCCUCGUCCUUUCGGUGUUUUCCUUUCGUUCCUCGAGACGCGUGCGAGGCAAACUGUCCUCUUCCGCUGUCGUUGGCCUCGCGCUGCUUCUGACUAGCCGCUUCCGGUGCUGUAUUACCCAGGACACGGACCGUUCACUCGCAGCACGACGAGUGCACGUCGGUUUAAUGAGGCUGCUUUGUUUGAGCCGCGGCUUCGAGACUGAUUUGGCUAACCACGAGAGCAGCAGCCUUCUCUAAGAGUCAUCUUUUAGACACGCUACACGUGAAGUCUGUAAAAAAUAUUAAAAAACUAAAAAGAAGAGUGGCGAAUCGAAUUAAGGCGCGAAGGAAGUGCACGCCGGUGCUCGACGUUUUCCUGGAUGGCUUCACGGUGGUCGUUUUGCCACGCUGCAAGAGGCAAUGUCCCCGUGCUCACCCGUUUUGCAGCAGCCUCAUCCAACGAAUCGCGAUAAAGCACCCUCGACGCGUCUGCUCGUCGGACAAAAGGUCUACACGGGCACAGCUUGAAUCGCCAAAGCCCCUAUUUUUCUCUUCUUUUUCUCUCUCUAUCCCUCCUCGUCUGAUCCUUCGACCAAGGAAGAAAAUCGUAAUCGAAGGUCAACGCCACUGCUGAUCGAUCGCUGAAGAGGUCGAGGGACGCUCAACCGGAGGAUUCUUCGAGACAAGGUGGUAUCCACGCCAGAUUGUCCCAUGAAGUCGACGGACGACGGAGCCAAAGCCGAGGAGCGAUCGUCGGCCGUGAUCAUCGAGGCGAGCUCGAGCAACCUUAGCAUCGUUCCGAGCUCCAGGUGAAUCGAGACCGAAUUGAACACGUUGAGAUACGAAACGCAUCAUCCGACCAUGUACAAGAUCUUAAGACGCGGCUCCAGCCGCGUGUUGGUCGUCUGCGCGGUCCUCCUUAGUCUAUUACUCUGCCUGUACUAUGUCAGUCAGGCACAGGGUCCGUCCACGGGCCCUUCAGCUGCGAUCCUGAACGAAGAGCUGAGGUACGACCGGGGUCUUACCUCCAUUACACCUGACUACAUAGAGUCCCCGGACGCUAAGGUGUCCCUGGACACCUGCCCCAUCAUCGUGCCUAGGAACGUGGACAUCGACACGCAGAUGGAGUUCGAGAAGUUCGAUUUCCAAGUAAGUCUGAAAAAUUUUUACUUUAGACCUACUAUCCUGACUAUUUGCCCAGUGUAAAUUCAGCCUAAGGGAUUGGGGACGGCGACAGUGGCAGCACAGCUCGCCCUCAGCUGAUACCUUUGAACAGACUUAAGCUAUCACUUUAGAUACGGCUUUGUUCAAACUGCGAACGAUUCUGAAUGGACUGAGAGACAAGCAUAAGUCUGGUCGUUUUAAAAAGUACCAGCGUCAUUAGUCGAGUGAACUUUACUUUCUUCGUUCUCCGGGGAGUCUGCGGACUUGGCUGAUUUAAUGGACGACUCUCGCGUAAUAAGGAAUUUUUUUCCCCCCCUGCCGCGCCAUUGAAUCGAAAAUAAUUUAGCAGUUUGUCCUCCUCCUCUUCCCAUAAGCUGAACCCAAGCUUCUAAACUGCAAAGCCAAAAGUUUCGAAGUCUCCUCGAAUUCGAGGACCAACUUCCCUGUAGCUCGGAUUCAAAGGAGAAUAGGUUGUUCCGCGAGCUCGCGCAAUAAAUUAAUAUCGUUGGAAAUUUAUUUGGGAAAGUGAAAAUGUCCCGAAAGUUAGUGGACCUAGAGUGAAUCUAGUUUUACGAGAUAGCGUAAAUUUUAUAUUCUGAAAAUCAUUCGAUGAUCAAUGGACUCUGUAUCUCUCGAAUGGCAUGUAUAUUGUUUAAAUCGUUUCAAUUUUCAGUCAAAGUCGAUUUGUACUUGGAAAACAGGUUUAAAUAUUCCACGUUAAAUGGGCAUGAAUAUUAUAGGAGUCAUCAGGGAAUCGGACUAUGGGGGAUUUAUAUACAUCAAGAAAAUAUUUCAAUUUUUCCUGAUGAACGCAUAAGUAUUUCAGGAAUUAUUAAAGAGUUAAAACGCGCUCGAUAUAUUUCCAAAUUACGUUUAUUAACCGUGAAACAUGAAACAUCGUUGAUGUAAUCUCCGGUCUCAUCGGUUCCGUCCGGACGGCGGACCAUGGAGAGAGCCCCACAGCGGCGGACCCUGGAGAGAAGCACAAUUAUAAUUUAAUCUCGUGUUUCAUAUUAUUUCCUUUUGUUUAACAAAUAUACACUUAACUUCUAGUUAAUAUCCUAAUAUAUAUUUUUUAAAUGUGGGUCACGAUUGACCCAGGCUCUGCUAUUUUAGGGUUGAAUUCUAAAUUUCUCAAAUGGCCCCCAGCUAUUUGAAGCGGUUCCUUCAGCUUAACCACGGAAUCUUAGAUUCCCUCAAGCGUAAACGUUCCGCCGAAUUAAACUGUUAACCAGAUAAUUCCAAUUAAUUCCCUGCCCAAACCGGAAAUCUUAGUUAGGAUACAAUUACCGGCAAUUGUGGAGGGCAAUUCGGUGACGAAACUUAUCUUAGUCAGUGACCUUAAGGAACAGGAAAUGCAACAUGGAUUCACUGAUUUUAUUUUUAUUUUAAAAGCUGGAAAGUAAUCAAUUUUCUCUUCGAAAUUAACCGAGGAAUCGUUGGACCAAAGCGGAUAAUAUUGCUACUUUGAGUGGCUCAAAGGCUCUCCCGAUCGUCGAUCAUCCCAGCGACAGCAUUUCGUAUUCCGAGUGUGCUUUGUGACAGAUUCCAUGUUCUUGUCGGGUCAAUUCUACCCGGCACAACAGGCACGCGUAAUCAACAUAAUUUCCCUCGCGUUUCAAGAAGGGAAAAAGAAUCGGUCACCGGGUAUGAUUGUUCAUCGCUGCAUUGUGCCUGGCAGAAUUCGAGAUUUCGCGAGCUUGCCAUCCUAUCUGGAAAUUUUCACAAUACGUUCUGCUGGCCGAGAUUCCCGUAGCCCGGAGCUGCUCGAAAGGAACGUUAAUUCUCUGCGGUUGUUGUCUCGUGUGCACUCGUGUGCGCAAACCAUCAUUUUUCCGUUCGAGGAACAAUGUUGAGAUAUACAACCAAGGGAAACGAGCAAAGAGAAGGAACACGACAGCCCGUGCGCCAUUGGGAAGAAUAAAUGGGAGGAAAAAAAAAAAAAAAAAAAAAAAAA